rnacentral:rRNA from 1 species
UUAAGCGACUAAGCGUACACGGUGGAUGCCCUGGCAGUCAGAGGCGAUGAAGGACGUGCUAAUCUGCGAUAAGCGUCGGUAAGGUGAUAUGAACCGUUAUAACCGGCGAUUUCCGAAUGGGGAAACCCAGUGUGUUUCGACACACUAUCAUUAACUGAAUCCAUAGGUUAAUGAGGCGAACCGGGGGAACUGAAACAUCUAAGUACCCCGAGGAAAAGAAAUCAACCGAGAUUCCCCCAGUAGCGGCGAGCGAACGGGGAGCAGCCCAGAGUCUGAAUCAGUGUGUGUGUUAGUGGAAGCGUCUGGAAAGGCGCGCGAUACAGGGUGACAGCCCCGUACACAAAAAUGCACAUAUUGUGAGCUCGAUGAGUAGGGCGGGACGCGUGGUAUCCUGUCUGAAUAUGGGGGGACCAUCCUCCAAGGCUAAAUACUCCUGACUGACCGAUAGUGAACCAGUACCGUGAGGGAAAGGCGAAAAGAACCCCGGCGAGGGGAGUGAAAAAGAACCUGAAACCGUGUACGUACAAGCAGUGGGAGCCUCUUUUAUGGGGUGACUGCGUACCUUUUGUAUAAUGGGUCAGCGACUUAUAUUCUGUAGCAAGGUUAACCGAAUAGGGGAGCCGAAGGGAAACCGAGUCUUAACUGGGCGUUAAGUUGCAGGGUAUAGACCCGAAACCCGGUGAUCUAGCCAUGGGCAGGUUGAAGGUUGGGUAACACUAACUGGAGGACCGAACCGACUAAUGUUGAAAAAUUAGCGGAUGACUUGUGGCUGGGGGUGAAAGGCCAAUCAAACCGGGAGAUAGCUGGUUCUCCCCGAAAGCUAUUUAGGUAGCGCCUCGUGAAUUCAUCUCCGGGGGUAGAGCACUGUUUCGGCAAGGGGGUCAUCCCGACUUACCAACCCGAUGCAAACUGCGAAUACCGGAGAAUGUUAUCACGGGAGACACACGGCGGGUGCUAACGUCCGUCGUGAAGAGGGAAACAACCCAGACCGCCAGCUAAGGUCCCAAAGUCAUGGUUAAGUGUGAAACGAUGUGGGAAGGCCCAGACAGCCAGGAUGUUGGCUUAGAAGCAGCCAUCAUUUAAAGAAAGCGUAAUAGCUCACUGGUCGAGUCGGCCUGCGCGGAAGAUGUAACGGGGCUAAACCAUGCACCGAAGCUGCGGCAGCGACGCUUAUGCGUUGUUGGGUAGGGGAGCGUUCUGUAAGCCUGUGAAGGUGUGCUGUGAGGCAUGCUGGAGGUAUCAGAAGUGCGAAUGCUGACAUAAGUAACGAUAAAGCGGGUGAAAAGCCCGCUCGCCGGAAGACCAAGGGUUCCUGUCCAACGUUAAUCGGGGCAGGGUGAGUCGACCCCUAAGGCGAGGCCGAAAGGCGUAGUCGAUGGGAAACAGGUUAAUAUUCCUGUACUUGGUGUUACUGCGAAGGGGGGACGGAGAAGGCUAUGUUGGUCGGGCGACGGUUGUCCCGGUUUAAGCGUGUAGGCUGGUUUUCCAGGCAAAUCCGGAAAAUCAAGGCUGAGGCGUGAUGACGAGGCACUACGGUGCUGAAGCAACAAAUGCCCUGCUUCCAGGAAAAGCCUCUAAGCAUCAGGUAACAUCAAAUCGUACCCCAAACCGACACAGGUGGUCAGGUAGAGAAUACCAAGGCGCUUGAGAGAACUCGGGUGAAGGAACUAGGCAAAAUGGUGCCGUAACUUCGGGAGAAGGCACGCUGAUAUGUAGGUGAAGUCCCUCGCGGAUGGAGCUGAAAUCAGUCGAAGAUACCAGCUGGCUGCAACUGUUUAUUAAAAACACAGCACUGUGCAAACACGAAAGUGGACGUAUACGGUGUGACGCCUGCCCGGUGCCGGAAGGUUAAUUGAUGGGGUCAGCGCAAGCGAAGCUCUUGAUCGAAGCCCCGGUAAACGGCGGCCGUAACUAUAACGGUCCUAAGGUAGCGAAAUUCCUUGUCGGGUAAGUUCCGACCUGCACGAAUGGCGUAAUGAUGGCCAGGCUGUCUCCACCCGAGACUCAGUGAAAUUGAACUCGCUGUGAAGAUGCAGUGUACCCGCGGCAAGACGGAAAGACCCCGUGAACCUUUACUAUAGCUUGACACUGAACAUUGAGCCUUGAUGUGUAGGAUAGGUGGGAGGCUUUGAAGUGUGGACGCCAGUCUGCAUGGAGCCGACCUUGAAAUACCACCCUUUAAUGUUUGAUGUUCUAACGUUGACCCGUAAUCCGGGUUGCGGACAGUGUCUGGUGGGUAGUUUGACUGGGGCGGUCUCCUCCUAAAGAGUAACGGAGGAGCACGAAGGUUGGCUAAUCCUGGUCGGACAUCAGGAGGUUAGUGCAAUGGCAUAAGCCAGCUUGACUGCGAGCGUGACGGCGCGAGCAGGUGCGAAAGCAGGUCAUAGUGAUCCGGUGGUUCUGAAUGGAAGGGCCAUCGCUCAACGGAUAAAAGGUACUCCGGGGAUAACAGGCUGAUACCGCCCAAGAGUUCAUAUCGACGGCGGUGUUUGGCACCUCGAUGUCGGCUCAUCACAUCCUGGGGCUGAAGUAGGUCCCAAGGGUAUGGCUGUUCGCCAUUUAAAGUGGUACGCGAGCUGGGUUUAGAACGUCGUGAGACAGUUCGGUCCCUAUCUGCCGUGGGCGCUGGAGAACUGAGGGGGGCUGCUCCUAGUACGAGAGGACCGGAGUGGACGCAUCACUGGUGUUCGGGUUGUCAUGCCAAUGGCACUGCCCGGUAGCUAAAUGCGGAAGAGAUAAGUGCUGAAAGCAUCUAAGCACGAAACUUGCCCCGAGAUGAGUUCUCCCUGACCCUUUAAGGGUCCUGAAGGAACGUUGAAGACGACGACGUUGAUAGGCCGGGUGUGUAAGCGCAGCGAUGCGUUGAGCUAACCGGUACUAAUGAACCGUGAGGCUUAACCUU